AAGAAUUCUUAUCGAUCUUUCUCUCUUAUUGUGCACCAGAAACUCUGCCGAAAUUUCUGCUGUGCACAACAGAAAUAUGGCAUCGCCAUAGAAGUACAAGUAGACCAACAUAUAUAGUAGUGGAGUAUAUACCGAGUAGCGAAAUCUAUGAAUUCCCUCAUCUUUCCCACUAUGCAUACUUCUGUCUAUAUGUUUUACUAUCAUGUGUCUUAUUUACAUUAUUCACUGCCUUUCGAGGUUUUAUCUCCUUUCGUUUUAUCUUACUUUCUUUAUAGUGGAUUUAUCUCAUCCACUUAUCGUCCUUUAAAUUCUGUACUCCUUUGACGGUACUUGCUAAAUCGAUUCUAACGAUUCACGAUUUGUUUCCUUUGUACCAAGUAGCUGACGAGUACCAAAUUGUGAGUUUGGAUUAGUUGAGGAUAUAUAGCAUGGCAAGAGAUAUCUAUUAUGGAUCCAGGACCGAUGCGGCCCGACGUAUUAUACCUUCAGAUAGAUCAUCGUUCACACAAGAUUGGCUUGGGACAGCUCAUAGCAGAAAUCAACAUAGUGGACCAUUCCCAGAGUCACUCGGGCUAGGAGAUGGAGGAUGAUCGAGUACUACAGUUGGUAGCUCAUGCCGGGUUUUUGGAGUGUUCAUCGAUGAGAUAUAUUAGGCUUGACUAUGUCAUUAUCAGUGCACUGAUUGAGAGGUGGAGACCGGGGACCAACAUAUUUCAUAUGCAUAUAGGGGAGUGUAUCAUUACACUUCAGGACGUAACCAUCAUACUUGGGCUCCGCAUCGAUGGCCCGAUUAUUACGGGCACCGAUGACCAUAAUUAGCCUGAAGUAUAUGAGAAGCUUCUUGGGUAAGUUCCCGAUUUGAGGAGUGGUGCGAUGAAGCUAUCGUGGAUUCGAUCGACAUUUAUGGGAGAUAUACCAGUUGAUGCCACAGAUGAAACAAUUCGGUAUUACGCUCAUGCUUAUAUGUUGCACAUGAUAGGGUGUAUGUUAUUUCCUGAUGCGAGCAAGAAUCUUGCACAUGUACGAUGGUUGUCACUACUCGAGGAUUUUGAUAUAUGUAGUACUCUAUCAUGGGGUAGUGUAGUCUUGGCAUACCUUUAUAGAGAAUUCAAUUGAUGCAUGACAUUAAUCCAGGUUUGA